GCGAGAGUGGCGAAACUGGCAGACGCGCUGGACUUAGGAUCCAGUGGGCCUACCGGCCCUUGGGGGUUCGACUCCCCCCUCUCGCACCA
rnacentral:tRNA from 3 species